ACAUGCAAGUCGAGCGGUAGCACAGAGAGCUUGCUCUCGGGUGACGAGCGGCGGACGGGUGAGUAAUGUCUGGGAAACUGCCUGAUGGAGGGGGAUAACUACUGGAAACGGUAGCUAAUACCGCAUAACGUCGCAAGACCAAAGUGGGGGACCUUCGGGCCUCAUGCCAUCAGAUGUGCCCAGAUGGGAUUAGCUAGUAGGUGGGGUAAUGGCUCACCUAGGCGACGAUCCCUAGCUGGUCUGAGAGGAUGACCAGCCACACUGGAACUGAGACACGGUCCAGACUCCUACGGGAGGCAGCAGUGGGGAAUAUUGCACAAUGGGCGCA
rnacentral:rRNA from 1 species